rnacentral:lncRNA from 1 species
UUUUCAUUACAUUUUGCUCUAAUGUGAUGAAAUUCUAAUUCUCUCCUUACCAUAUGGUUAAAUUUCCCCACUGAGAAUUAGUUGAAAAAGGAGAAAUAAUCUAUUAAUCUCUGUAAUAGAUUCACAAAUGAGCUUUGCCACAGAACCUGUUUUUGAAUGGUAAUAUGGGAACAGUUGGGUGCCUUGUUUCAGGGAAGAAAGGAGCAGGCGACAACAGCAAACGUUUGAAUUUUCACCUGGAAAGAAUGAAAAGGAGCCAAGCUGCGGAUCUCCGACGCCGACUUAUGAAAAUCACGCGGUCGCUUGAGGAUGACGGACGCCGUUACUCCGAUUUGACGGCUAAGGGGAACGUUUCACUGCUGGCAGCUCCGAAGACAGAGCUCUCCGGAUCCAUCCCUCCUCACUCGUCGCUUUCACUGCCCCUCCCUCCCUUCUGCCUGACCCUUCGGGGCCCGCGCCGUCGGGCCGAGGGCACUCCCGGCCUCCUCCUCUCCGCUCUCCCCCAGCGCAAUGAAAACACAUCUGCCCAGCUCCUCGUUACCUGCUUUAAUUGCACCGUGGCCCUCUGCCAUUGGUUGCGCGUUAUUUCGGGGCAGGAGCGGCCCGCAACCGCAGGAGGGAGCGCGGCCCGGCCCGCAGAGAGCAGUCCGACCGCGUUCCCUCUCCGCCCGCAGCC